rnacentral:rRNA from 1 species
GACGAACGCUGGCGGCGUGCCUAAUACAUGCAAGUCGAACGCAGUGGGGACGGGUGAGUAACACGUGGGUAAACUCCCAUCAGAGGGGAUAACACUUGGAAACAGGUGCUAAAACGAUACUGAUGGAUGGACCCGCGGUGCAUUAGCUAGUUGGUGAGGUAACGGCGCACCAAGGCCACGAUGCAUAGCCGACCUGAUAGGAAGUUCAGCCACACUGGGACUGAGACACGGCCCAGCCUCCUUCGGGAGGCAGCAGUGGGGAAUAUUGCACAAUGGGCGCAAGCCUGAUGCAGCCAUGCGGCGUGUAUGAAGAAGGCCCUAGGGUUGUAAAGUACUUUCAGUCGGGAGGCGUUACCGACAGAAGAAUCACCGGCUAACUCCGUGCCAGCAGCCGCGGUAAUAC